CAAUAGCGUAUAUUAAAGUUGUUGCAGUUAAAAAGCUCGUAGUUGAAUUUCUGGCGGGCGCGCCGGUCUUCCAAGUGUUGUACUGGGCGCAGUCCGCCAUCCUUGUGGAGAGGGCUCGCAUUGAGUUGCGUGUCGGAUCUGCAUCAUUUACUGUGAAAAAAUUAGAGUGUUUAAAGCAGGCUGUCGCUCGAAUACAUUAGCAUGGAAUAAUAAGAUAGGACUUCGGUCUAUUUUGUUGGUUGCGAACCGAGGUAAUGAUUAAUAGGGAUAGUUGGGGGUAUUCAUAUUUAAUUGUCAGAGGUGAAAUUCUUGGAUUUAUGAAAGAUGAACAACUGCGAAAGCAUUUACCAAGGAUGUUUUCAUUAA
rnacentral:rRNA from 1 species